CAACUGUCAGAAUUUGAAAUGAGGAAUGGAACUGCUAUCUGAGGUGAAUGUCACCGCUGAAGUCUUGUAGUGCCUGUGUCCACGAUUAGAAAUAAUUAAAAUCUUACAGAAGGUCAUCGUACUGAUUUGUAGGACACGGGAACGUAUCCCAGAGCAACGCCGCACAGAACUGUUCGCAAAGUUCCGCUUCAAAUUUCACCAGCGUGCAAUUUUCCGGCGUGUAUCAGUAGCCCAUUUGGCCAGCGGUCACGUUGCCGCUCCCGUAUUUCUACCGUCGUCUUUAGUCACGUUUUUUCUGAGAUGAAAAUGUUUUACCUGUUUAUCAAACGUUUUAUUUAUUCGUUUGUUUGUGUGUUUGUUUCUUUGGAGGAGGAGUGAGGGGAAGCAGAGCGCAGGAAGAGCGUGGCGGGGGGGGAGGGGGGAGCUCUCGAAACCGUCAGGGCCGGAUACGUUCCCGGAAGCGUGAUCGUCUGUCAUUCCAUUCGAUUCAAACGCAAAGCGAUCCGUUUGAAUCAGGUACAGUUAUUUAACUUGUCAGCGAACUCAACAACGAGGCGAGAAGGAGAAGCGCGUAACAAACUGUAAUCUGAAGUGUACUUGAAGUCCGUAAUUCAGAUCCGGAGCCCACGUGUCGAACCGUCAGGGCACUCGGCCAGCCCUAACGAGCCCCAGCCGCGCUAACGAGCCCCAGGUGCCGCGCGCAGCCGCGCCUCGUCGGGAGCUCGGGGCGGGGCCCGCCACAAACCCUCUUAAGCUCCACCAGACGCCGACGGGAGCCACCAGCGAGUUCUCGGAGUUCCUCGGCUGCGGAGCUGGAGCCGGUUCUGUGUCUUUAUCCGGGUGUAGCGCCGCCGGGGCUGAGAAGGUACGUGGGUACGUGAGGGGCUGCUUUGAAAUGAAGCUUUGUUAACGUAACGUUCUCUGUCGCUUUGUUUCAGGCUGUAGCGAGACGGCGCGCAGUAAAGAUCAGCCCGACCCGGUGAGCGCUCGGCGGGGAGUCGCGAGGGACGUCCGAGCCUCUGAUGUGUUGUGUUUGUGUUUUUUUUGUUUGUUUUUUGUCUCGGUGUAGGGCUGCUGUCGGGCUCUUCGGAGCCGGAGUACCGUCACCGCCCAGCUUCCAUCGCAUUUUCGGAAAGGGCCGCCGCAGGGCCGACUCUCGAUUCCACGAGUCCCGACGCAGCCCUGCGGGGCUUUCAGCAUCCCGGGGUUUUUCGGCGGGCGCUUCGGUUCCUCCCGCCGUCGUCUGAGGGAGCGAGCGGGACCGUAUCGCUUUAGCCUGCGUGCUGCUGGGCGUGAGAAGUGACACGAAGGGUUGUUAAGACUUAAGUUUAUCUUACUGCAGGCGGAGCGAGGACCGCGACGGAGCGUCUCGUCGGCCCCAACCUGGGUUCCGCAGGUAAGCGUUCUGGGCUGGGAGUUCGCGUAAGGCCGCCGCUCGGCAUGUCAGCGUCUUUAGGGUCGGCACGGGGCCGUCGCCGGGCUCUUACGCAGCUUUUUAGAAAAGCGGGCACGGGGCCGCCGCCCAGCUCCCCGAUAUCGAGCCAGUAGGACGGGACCGCGUGUCUCCUCUCUCCUUUCUUGCAGUUAUGGAACUUCGGGAAGACCGUGUCGUUCCUGUCGUGGAGACGUGACUGUAAUGCUGUUGCGGGUGGCGGUGUCGUUUUAGCGAAGACGGACCGGCACGGCGACGGAGUCGCGGUUAACGCGAGAGAAUCGAACGGACCCAGUUCUGCCCGGGGACGAACGGAGAGUGGGGUGCUCGGCGGCGAGUAAAGGCGUUACUUAUAGACGAGGAUGAGGAAGCCGGUAAGGCCUUUACGCAGCUGGAAUUAGCCUCAUCGCUGCGUACACACUUGGUCUCAUGAUAGAGCUGGGGGGGGGAGGGGAAGAACCGUAUUGAGCAGUACAGGUUAGGAACCGGCGUGCUGGGAGCCACGUUCGAGAGGGAUUCGGCCGUCCCGGCAACGCGUCCUCCAGGCCGACGAGGCCGGCGUUAUCCCGGGGCGCGUUACAACGAGCGCGGCCGUCGGGGCGAGGGGUGAGAUUCUCUUUUCAGAUCACCUCCGGUGAGGCCGCUUCUGCUUAACUGCUCAGCAGCUCGAUAGCUACGGUAAGUUUGCGGGGUAAGCAAGAUGGGGAUUGUGAGCGUCUCCUGUCUGAGGAACGGAAGAUGGGAAUGUCACUACUGCAGUUUGUAGGUAUCUGAAGUGCAGUAGUGUAGUCAGUGGGGAUGGGCUCGUUUGGAUAGUAUGGGAGGUACUCAGCAGCAGCAGAGAGGGGUGCGAUGUUCUGAGAAUUGAAUGCAAGAAGUUGUAGGCAGGCAGUAUCAAGAAUGAAUAACUUCCCUGUAAGAGGGAUAGUAUUUGCUGUUGAGUGUCCUUUUUGGGGCAAUUUGGGUUGCGUCUGGAUUCUUUCCUGGGUUAUGUGCUUGCAGGUAAGCUACUUUAGGAAAGGAGUGGGACUUUUGUUUCUGUACAGCUUUGGAAUUUUCUUUUCCCUGCAGAAUGAGGCUUGCGUUGGAGUCUUCAGUGGUGAUCAGCAGUCUGAAUACAAGAGCAAUUUCCUAGGUGGUGGGAUGAAGGUGAGUGAUGAGGCUCAGGCUGUGCUUGAGGGCUGGUGACCCUGCAGAGCUCUUCCUGCAGGUUCAGGGCCAGAGUGAGGGUUCUGGUGCCUUUUUUUUUUCCUGACAGGUGCUGUUCCUGGGAUGGGGUAAGCAGCUAGGACUGGGUGCCAGCAUGGGGGCUGCCUGGAUACUUCCUGGAAGUGAGGCUUUACUGUGGUUUCAUUUCAGUCCUGAAGAGUAGAACUGAUGGAGUGAGAGGUUGUUUGGCUUCUUUUCUGAGAAGCUGGUGACCAUCCUGAGUUUUGAGCUGAGGUCUUAGGAAGGCUGUAGAAGAGGAGGUGGUGAAGGUGACCUGAGAGAAGCAAAGCCUUGCGUCCGUUCUCAACUUUUGCAAGACGGGGGGAAAAAAAAAAUUAGCAUUUUAACCACGGCCUUCCUGAUCACGCUGCAUUACUGCAUUGGCCAAUUUCUUCUACAAGCUACAGACAGAUCUACAUUCUCCCUGUCUAGAAGACUACCUCAUCCAACCUGCAAGAAACUAUGAGAAAUUUCAGUCAAGUGGCAAAAGAGAACCAUUUGGAGAACGAUUCUUAGGCUUCUAGUUGUCUUUAGCCGUAAAGAGGUACAUAUGGCAUCCCACAAAAGCACAGACCGUGUAGAAAUUGGGCGUCUCCACAGAGGGAUCAGGUACUACUGCACUUCUUAUCUGUCAAGACCUGACAGUGAAUAAAACGGGUUCUCUGUAAGGUACUUCUCUCUGAGCAAUUCUUUCUGAACAGCAUGUAGAAUCGUCAACACAAUAAACAACCAAAAAAUCCUUAGGUAGAAAAUUAUUUCCAUUUUUAAAAGCCCCAUUGUUAUGAAAUCUGCUGAAAAUAAACAGAUCAAACGCU